CCGGCAUUCGCGGAAGUGGGGAGUAAUUUCUCGCCGGGGAAAAAUUAUCCAAGUUCUCUCUGCCGACUGAGGGAAACCGAGAUCUGGAAAGGUUGUGACUUGACCAAGAUCACAAAGACAGCAGAUGGUGGAACUGAGAUUUUACCCUACAUGCUCUGAUUCCUGUCCAGCACUGGACCAAUGUGCAUUUGCUUCAUAUGGAGGACACCUGUGUAUGUUUGGAAGCAGCUGGAAUUGAGCCAUUCUCUUCAGUGUGAGGGAUUGCAUCAGCCCCUAUUACAUAUGUCUAGGGAAUCAGAGAUAGAAGAUGAGAGGAUGAAGGAUUAGGAAUGAGGUGACAAGAUAUAGGGUGAAAGGAGGGAAUAUUGGGGAAUAGGGGUUAAGUUAUUAUCCAAAGAGUCUAUAGGUGA